rnacentral:ncRNA from 1 species
GUCUUCAGGGCAGGGUGUGAUUCCCGACCGGCGGGAAAGUCCGCAAGCCGUAAGGCAUGAUCCGGUGAAACUCCGGAACCGACAGUACAGUCUGGAUGAGAGAAGAUG